GACGAACGCUGGCGGCGUGCUUAACACAUGCAAGUCGAACGGAAAGGCCCUGCUUUUGUGGGGUGCUCGAGUGGCGAACGGGUGAGUAACACGUGAGUAACCUGCCCUUGACUUUGGGAUAACUUCAGGAAACUGGGGCUAAUACCGGAUAGGAGCUCCUGCUGCAUGGUGGGGGUUGGAAAGUUUCGGCGGUUGGGGAUGGACUCGCGGCUUAUCAGCUUGUUGGUGGGGUAGUGGCUUACCAAGGCUUUGACGGGUAGCCGGCCUGAGAGGGUGACCGGCCACAUGGGGAGUGGGAGCGGGCCCAGCCUCCUCGGGGGGGCAGGGGGGGGAAAUAUUGCAAAAGGGGGGGAGGCCGGAUGCAGCAACGCGGGGGGGGGGAUGAGGGCCUUGGGGUUGAAAACCGCUUUCGCCGGUGACGAAGGGUGGGGGAGGGUAUGGGUAAAAGAAGCACCGGUUAACUAGG
rnacentral:rRNA from 1 species